AGGCUGCUUGUCUCCUGCCACGUUGCUGCGGUCGUCGUCGUCGUUACUUGUUUCUUCUGCAUCAGAGGCACGCUCGCUUCUCUCUCGCGCGCGCCCCGCUGAGAUGUUGCGACGCAGUGCGGUGCGGUACCUCAAGGCGCGACCAAAGACGGUCAACAUCGAGCCAGGUAGCAACCGAUUUCUCGACCCCAAUGUGGAGGCGAAGGCGAGGGACAUCUUCGCCGUACCGGAGUUUCCGAACAAGGCGGUGCUGCACAACUGGCGCUUCUUCAUCAAGGCUGGCAAGGCCGCAACGGGGCCGCCGGUCGGCCAGGAGUUCUCGAAGCUGGGACUGAAGGCGAUGGACUUUGCCAAGGCGUUCAACGACCGCACCAAGCCGCAUUUCAAGGACGAUAUCGAGCUCAUUGUGCGCAUUCAGGUGUACUUUGACAAGUCGUACAUCUUCCGCAUCGAGCCGCCGCCGACGGCGUGGUUUCUGUUGCGCGCGAUUCGCAAGAAGAGAGGCGAGACGGGCCCUGUCGCUCUGCGCGGCAACUACUGUGCCUAUCUCACCCUAGAGAUGUGCUACGAGAUCGCCAAGAUGAAGCAGAUGUCGUGGGGAAAGGUCGAAUACCCACCAAUCGAGGUGCGUGUGCGGCGUGUCGUUGGUCAGGCGAGGCGCAUGGGCAUUGCCAUCAUCGGCAUCGACACUGUGCACAGCUCGCCCGUGAAGGACAUGACGGAGAAGCAGUACCUCGAAGAGAGCGAGAAGCACCGCAAGGUGCACAUGAUACAGUAUGAGGCGCUGAAGGCGAAGGAGCUCGAGUCGGCUCCGCUGAUUGAGCGUCUGCAUCGACCGAACAUGGCCCCGCUGACAAACACGCAACUUGAGGAGGGCCUGAAGGAUGCAAACCUGCUGAACGCGCUGUGGAAGUCGUCUCACCCCAAGAGUCUCUUCGCGCAGGACACGCGCGAUCGCGAAAUGGCGCGCCGCUACCUGAACACGCGCGGCUGGUUCAAAGAAAUGACACCGGAGGAGAUGCGUGUUGUGUUUCUGAAUUACCGCCUCCCCGAGCAGGAUCGCCAGCGACAGCUGAACAUGACAGACGGACAGGCGCAGUCGCAGGCCUUCUGGUCGCGUGAUGCCGCGUCACCGCAGUAAAGCAGGCGUUUUUGUGAGACGGGGAGAGCUUGUGUGGUGCUGAACAGGGCAUUGCUGGCUGUGCUGUGCCUGAGUCGGUUGUGCCGCCACUUACUUUGCUCUUUUCUUUUACCACACACACACACACAAACACACACACACACACACACAAGACAGGCCCUCUCGCCUCUUGCUGUUCUUCUCUCUUCUCCAGCGUUGUCUGAACCCUCCCCCUCCGUCUGUCUCCAUCCCUUUCGCCUCUCAUUUUGGGUUCUUCGUCGCCUUCUCCGCGCCCGCGUUAGCUGCGUUGCUGCCUGCCUCCCGUCGUCCUUGGUGUUGCUCAUCGCGUACAGCCAUGCAACUCAGGUGAUGCGUAGUGUUUCGGGCGAGGGGAAGACGGGGGUUGGCGGAUGAUGAGAUCAAGUACGUUUUGUGAAGAAGAGUAGGGAAGAGAUAAGCCGCGAAGCGAAAAGG
rnacentral:misc_RNA from 1 species